rnacentral:piRNA from 1 species
UGAAUGAGCAAAUUAGAAUUC